AACGAACGCUGGCGGCAUGCCUAACACAUGCAAGUCGAACGAGACCUUCGGGUCUAGUGGCGCACGGGUGCGUAACGCGUGGGAAUCUGCCCCUGGGUUCGGAAUAACAGUUAGAAAUGACUGCUAAUACCGGAUAAUGUCUUCGGACCAAAGAUUUAUCGCCCAGGGAUGAGCCCGCGUAGGAUUAGCUAGUUGGUGAGGUAAAGGCUCACCAAGGCGACGAUCCUUAGCUGGUCUGAGAGGAUGAUCAGCCACACUGGGACUGAGACACGGCCCAGACUCCUACGGGAGGCAGCAGUGGGGAAUAUUGGACAAUGGGCGGAAAGCCUGAUCCAGCAAUGCCGCGUGAGUGAUGAAGGCCUUAGGGUUGGUAAAGACUCUUUUACCCGGGUAC
rnacentral:rRNA from 1 species